AAAGAAAGACAGAGGUCCCCUGUGUGACCCUAAGAUAUCCGAGUCCAGGGAACUACUCAGAAUUUCAUUGACACCUACCCCUCUGUUCUUCUUCCAUUGAGGAAGUCAAAAGAUCUCCAGUUCCAUUUGUGAGACACCACCAGGCCCUGGUGCUGAAAAACUCUGAGAAGUGCUGGUAGUAGAGAUGAAGGGAACCAUUACAAGCCAUCUUCAUGUACUGGAUUCUGACAAAUGAGGAUGAUCUGAGAAAGCCAGGCAUAGAGAGGGAAACAGAAGGAUUUUCAGUACUGAUGGUUGGAACUGGACCUCACCAGGUCUCCAUGAGAGAACCAAACAAGACAAUAUGGAAAAGUAAACUCCAUUCUGGAAAAUGUUGGGAAGUGAGAGGGAAAUUGAAGGCUGAGAAUCUGAUAUCAAAACACCAAGAACCUGGAGUAGUACAAGGCUGUCAGAUCUUCACUGAGAGUCGGAUGGAGGAGGCUGGGCACUGAGAGUCAGAUGGAGGAAGCUUUGGCACUGCUAAAGUGAAGGAGAGAAUGGGAGACAGGCAGGUGAACGAACACAUUUGACCCACAGUUGGAAGCGGCAACGCGGGCAUUCUUCUAUUGUGACAUCUGCCGGACUCGGCCUACACUGUGGACAAACAGAUGAAUACCCAGAGAGUUGCAUGUCUCAUAUUGCCUAAGACGAGGACAGCUCCUGAGAAGCAAGCCACAGAUGCUCCAGCCUGCUCUCACAGACACAGACGCUUCUACUGGACCUGCACCUUCCUACCUAAAAAUGGUUCCACAGAUCUUAGACAGCAAGGAAGCAGCUAACUCUCCUAAGACUGGACCAGCACCCCCACUCCCAUUUUCUUAGGUUCCCCAGAGACAUGUCACCCCAAAGUCAGCAAGAAGUAGCUAAAGAUCACAAUGACCCUAUUCCUGUUUCACCACCACUUCUUUCUAGAUUCUCCUUUUUAAAUUAAACUAAAAUGGAGGAAUGCUGGCAUUCCUUGUACGAUCCGAUGUGGUGAGAUAAUACAAAUGGAUGGAUAGCAUGAUUCUUCAGUCCUCAUGUGUAAAUAAAUUCUAGUAUAGCUGCGCCCUGAACCAUGGCAGAUGGAUUUUAACUGGAUGUCUGUGAAGAAUCGCCUUUAAACUGAAAACUCAACUCAAGGGGCAAUGGCUCUCAGUUCUGGAGUCAAGGACAAAUCAACAUGUCUCAAGAACUUAGAGGAACUGUGUAAAAUCAGGUUUUGCUCAUAAGGGACUGUCCAAGCACAAGAAUGAGAAU
rnacentral:lncRNA from 1 species